UUUUUUUUUUUUUUUUUUUUUUUUUUUGAUUUUUGAGACAGGGUUUCUCUGUAUAACCCUGCCUGUCCUGGAACUCACUUUGUACACCAGGCUGGCCUUGAACUCAGAAAUCUGCCUGCCUCUGCCUCCCGAGUUCUGGGACUAAAGGUGUGUGCAACCACGCCCGGCUUUUCAUCAAACUUUUUAAAUCCCUACCUUAAAGGGCCUUACCACAAUAGAGUUUUGAAGUGAACAUUUUGCUUCCAGUUCCUUGCUAUUAUAAAUAAAGUUGAUAUGAACAUAGUGGAACAUGUUUCCUUGCGAAAUGUGGAACAUCUUCUGGGUAUAUACCCAGGAGUGGUAUAACUGGGUCUUGAGAUAUAACUAGACUCAGUUUUCUGACAAACCACCAGCUUGAGUCCCAGAGUGGUUGUACACGUUUACAACCCUACAAGAGAUGGAGGCGUGUUUGCCUUUCUCAGUGUCCUUGCCAGCAUGUGCUGUUCCUUGAGUUUUCAAUUUUAGACAUUCUGAUGCAUGUAAAGUGGAAUCUCAGGGUUGUUUUUCUUUGCAUUUACCUGAUUAGCAACAAUGUUGAACAUUUAUUGAAUUGAUACUAGGUCAUUGGAACUUCCUCUGUUGAGAAUUCUGAUUAGCUCUGUAUCCCAUUUUUAAUCAGGUUGUUUUUUUUGGCAUCUAACUUCUUGAGUUCUUUAUAACUUUUGAAUAUAAGCCCUCUAUUGGCUAUAGGGUUGGUGAACAUCUUUUCUCAGUUUGUAGGCUACUGUUUUGUCCUAUUGACAGUGUCCUUCCCUUACAGAAGCUUUUCAUUUUCAAGAAAUGUAUUAACUGUUGUUCUUAGAGCCUGAGCCAUUGAUGUUAUAUUCAGGAAAUUCUGUGUCCUGUACCAUUGUGUUCAAGGGUAUUUCCUACUUUGUCUGCUGUUAGAUUCAGUGUAGCUGGUUUUAUGUUGAGGUCCUUGAUCCAUCCUGUGCAGGGUGAUUCUUCUAUACACACUGCCAGUUAGACCAGAACAUUUGUUCACCGUGCUUUCUUUUUCUAUUCUAUGGUUUUGGCUUCUUUGCCUAAGAAGUGUCCAUAGGUGUAUGAGUUCAUUUCUGGGUAUUCUAUUCCACUGAUCUGUCUGUCUGUACUGAUACCAUUUGGUUUUUAUCACUAUUGCUAUGUAGUACAGCUUGAGAUCAGGAAUUGUGAUGUCUCCAAAAGUUCUUUUAUAGUUCAGAAUUGUUUUGGCUAUCCUGGGAGUGUUUGUUCUUCCAAAUGAGGGAGAGAAUUCCACUUUCUAUUUUUUUAAAAUUUAUUUAUUAUAUAUAAGUAGACUCUAGUUGUCUUCAGGCAUACCAGAAAACGGAUUCAGAUCUCACCACAGAUGUUUGUAAGCCAUUAUGUGGUUCAUGGGAUUUGAACUCAGGACCUCUGGAAGAACAGUCAGCGAUCUUAAAUGCUGAGCCAUCUCUCAAGCCUGAGAAUUGCAACUUCAAUGUGUGUAGAAAAUUGUGUUUGAAAUUUGAGGGGAAUUGCAUUGAAUUUGUAGAUUGCUUUUGGUACCAUGGCCAUACUGACUAUGUUUUUUGGUUGUCUGUUUUUCAAAACUGGUUUUUCUGAGUGAUGAGCUUGUGUUCUUAGAAUUUGUUCCAUCUACCAGGCUGGCCUUGAACUCAGAGAGUUCUGCCUGCCUCUGCCUCCGCCUCCUCUGCCUCUGACUCUGCCUCGUGUACAAAGUGAGUUCCUAGAGAGCUAGUGCUAUAAAAAGAAACCAUGUCUAAAAAAUCCAAAACCAAAAACAAACAAACAAACAAACAAACAAAAACCAACCCCCCC
rnacentral:lncRNA from 1 species